GUUUGAUCUCAGACUGCUGUGCUAGCAAUCAGCGAGACUCCGUGGGCGUAGGACCCUCCGAGCCAGGUGCGGGAUAUGAUCUCGUGGUGCACCGUUUUUUUAAGCCCGUCGGAAACGCGCAGUAUUCGGGUGGGAGUGACCCGAUUUUCCAGGUGCCGUCCGUCACCCGUUUCUUUGACUCAGACAGGGAACUCCCUGACCCCUUGCGCUUCCCAAGUGAGGCAAUGCCUCGCCCUGCUUGGGCUCGCGCAUGGUGCGCUCACCCACUGACCUGCACCCACUGUCUGGCACUCCCUAGUGAGAUGAACCCGGUACCUCAGAUGGAAAUGCUGAAAUCACCCGUCUUCUUCGUUGCUCACGCUGGGAGCUGUAGACAGGAGCUGUUCAUAUUCGGCCAUCUUGGCUCCUCCCCGCACCAAUAGGUGACGGAAGGUGAGGAGAGAGCACUGAGACCAAGCAAAUGGAGGCACUCAGGGAAUGAGAGGCUAAAGAUGAGAAGUGUGGCUCCGCGUCCAUCAUGGUCUUAGGUUCCCUUCCUCUGCCCAAGUCCCAUCACAAGUGCAGAAUCACUGCAGUUGGAUUAACUGGACCCAGCCACAGCUGAGUAUUAAAUGAAAUCAUAUGUGGCUUUGGAAUGGAGGACCCCGCCAGUAAUAUAGCUGUUAUUUUAAAACAAACUCAGAAGCCUCCUUGCUCCUCUCUGAAGGCAUCCUUGGACCAGUUGUGCAGUUGCAUGUAUAAUUUCUGCACCAUGAGCCCACACUCCCUGCCUAGCUCAGAUCUCACAGCUCUCACCUGCAUCCUGCCAUCGAUCCUCUCCUGUAUGGACUCCCUGCCAACCGCCUGUCCCACUUGGCUCCCACACUGGCUGCUGCAGGACAUUCCUGCAAUCUAAUCUGAUGUGUGACUUCCCUGCUGAAAAGCCUUUAAUGGCUCCUCAGUGCCUUCAGGGUGAGAUCCAAGCUGCCCUCCCACCAUGUUUGGCCACAUUUGCUGACUGUAUCCCCACGGAGACCGACAAGCUUCACAGCUAUUACUGACCACUCACUCUCUUCUCAGAAUGCCCCCUGACCCCAUCCACCACCACCAUCUCAGUGGACAUAUAUAACAUAUUCAUUGCGUGAAUUCGCUCUGAGGGUCUCUUCUUUCCGGAAGUCUGCCCAGCUCACUGCACCCAAAGGAGACUGGCCACGUCCUUCAUGUGUGCCUUUCAAUAGACUUCAGUCACUGUACUGGAACAAAUUAUUGCGUUACUUUUUAUACACCUGUCUCCACCUCAACAAGAGAAAUCGUGCCUGAAUAGUAAUAGUAAUAAUUACAGCUUAGAUUUAUUGAGUGUUUGCCAGUGCCAGAUAUCAUUAAGGGCCUUUCAACAGGUAUUAUCAUCCUAUUUAAUCCUCACUACCCAGUGAAGAAGGUUCCGUUAUUACAGAUGAGGAAACCAAGGCACAAGGAGAUUAAAUAAGGGUGCCAAGAUCAAGCAGCUGGUAAGGAGUUUAUUCUCAGAGUCCAACACAGUGCUCAGAGUCCAACAUAGUAGGAACUGGGUACAUUUUGUGGAACUGAGAUAUUUUGUUUGUGGUUGAACUACACCAAAUUCAGUUGAUUUAGGGACCAAGCACUCCUGCACUGGUGUGAAGUGCCUUCAUCUGUGGGUCACCAGCUGGUACUCGAGCCCGAGGCCACAUGGCCUGGGAUGUUAGUGAGUGCUCGGCUGGCACACAUCCCCCUCCAGGUUCUCAGGUUAGUUGUUCUGUGAAUUCACGGCACACAAAUAUUUUAUGCCUGCAUUUAUUCUUCAUAACAAUAUGAAUGAGCAACUGAAUAAAAGCCAAAUCCCUCGUGAAGCCAGAGGAAGAGUGAUUAAAUUAUAAUCAUCCUGGAUUAAUUAAUCUAUAAUAUUUGCUCUUUAUAUGAAAGAAGAAAAUCAGCCUUCAACAUAAAGGUUAUGUACUCCUGAGGUCUGUGUCUUAAUAAAGGAAAGGCUUGGGGAAAAAACUUGACAAGCCCCCAAGAUACGACAUGUUGUAAAUGUAGACAGAAGGUUAUUACUGAUAUAAAAUAUAUUCAAUGUAAUUAUCAGCCACAACAAAUAAUCAGAGUGAUGAUAAUGAAUAAUUAACAUUUUUAUACUCCUAUAGUAAGGUGUCUAAUAGAUAAGUGCACAACAUUGAAUUAAUUUAUUGUGCCAUAGUGUUUUUAGUAAUGAAAAUUGCCUAAUCAAAACAUCUCUUCCACAGUAUUGCCAGAUAUUGGCAUAAAACACCGAUAAGGUUUAGUUUAUUUCUUUGUUUCCUGAUCUAAUUGUAGUAGAGAUGCUGUAAAAUAUCUAGAAGGAAACCUCAGUAGAGAAGUUAUAGUAAGAAUAAAGUCAAGGCAAGCUAUUGAUCUCAGUUCAGGAGGAGACAAAUUUAAAGACAUUGCUUUUGGUUCCUGGAAUUAAGGGUUAAUAAAGAUGUAGGAAGCAAUGGUGUCUGCCUGAGAAGAGAGGCUGUACAAAGAAGAGAGAGGAUUUUGUGAUUUGAAAUCCCAGUGGUCUUUCAUGGGUGUCUUUUUAUUCCAGCUGCUGCCUCCUCAGGUCUGUCUUCCUUACUACAGUGUGGGAAAGGGGUAGGGGACAUUUCCUCCAUAACACUGCUGGAGAGAUCAAAGCCACUCCCUCCUCUUUGCCUUCACAUCAUUUUGCCCACAUGUUGGACUGCCAGGGUGUUUCUUACAUCUGCCUUUCUCCUGAGCAUAGCAAGGGCCAUCUUCUGCUCAUUUUCUAUCUUCAGGGGCCAGCCCAAUGCCUAAAUGCACAGUAAAAUCAUUGAUGAAUAAAGGAAUUGCAAGCCUGUCUAUUUCUACGGCCACUGGGAGAUACAAAUGUUGAUGUAUUUAACAUGGUCACAAUCUCAUCCCCCUGUAAUCGACUAUCUAAAGCGUAGCAGCCGAAGAUAUUAAGGAAUGGGACUAUGUGAACAGUAACUGCUUCCACUUGUAUUAAGGAUUCUUAUGAAGCAUAAAUCAAGAAAUAAAGGAACUCCCUCAUCUUAGUGUGCAGUAAAGUGCUAACAAACAGCGCAUGACAUCAGUUAAGGUUCACGAGAGGGACCAAAUUGUAUCUUAGACCACUUGUUGUCAUUUUUUAAAUGUUCUCCAUGGAAGCCCCUUUGCAAACUUUAUGUGCACAUGAAUCACUGUGGAUCUUGUUAAAAUGCAGAUUCUGAUUCACUGGAUCUGGGGUGGGGCCUGAGUCUCUGCAUUCCUGCCAAGCUACCAGAUGAUGCCAAUGCAGCUGGUCCUCAG
rnacentral:lncRNA from 10 species